GGUGUCCUCACCUGCAGGAGACAGGACACAACUGUCAGGCUGAAUUAGGCUCAGUUGUGUAGGGAUUUUAAAAUCUCCCUGGGUAACAGACAUGGAAGACUCACACUGGCCUGGGCUGAAGAGUUGUUCUUUUUAGAGCACUGUGCAAAGAGACAGAGAGAAAUUCACUACUCGAUGUGUAAGCAUAUCUGCCAUUAA
rnacentral:lncRNA from 14 species